rnacentral:lncRNA from 1 species
UUUCUGUUGAAUACAUACAGCGCAAGGAAGGGGUGAGAAGGGGGCUGACUCUUAGCAGCAGUUCAGCAUCACAGAAAUUUAAUUGUGACAGGAAAUUCCACAGCAAGUCAUUCCCAAGUCGCUUUUGCAAGAAUAUUUUGCUACAGAGAAAAUAAAAAACAUACAGCUUGAUACAAUUAAAGGAUUUCAGGAGGCAAUAUAGCAGAUAGCACAGUGUGAAAUGGCCUUAUUUCCUGUAAAGGACAAAAAUACCUUAUUCCUUCAGAACCCUUCCUCACCUCAUCAUAAUGAGAUGUGAAGACUGAAACUUGAUCACAUAGCAGAAGGGUUAGGAGAGCACUGACUACAUUUUUAUGCAGAUUUGCCUGUCCAUCCUAACUGAAACGAAUUUUGAUGUAUUUUUGACAUGAACAAGGCAGGAUUUGAUAGAACCUAGCAGUUAUCUGGAUCUCCAUUAGUAACUCAGCCACUUUCCUGUCUCUUCACCAUCUCAUCUUUCCAGCACUGUGACCCAAACUGGGACAGCAGCCCAGUUCUUUGGAUAUCAAACUGGGAAGGAGCACCAAAACCAAGCCCUGAUAUUUUUUCCAGGAGCCCAAGAACCUCAAGGCUCUCUCAAACAGGUUCUUUAAACAGAAGGCAAACUGCUACCAUUUGGGGCUGAAUACUGGAGGUUAUUUUGGAAUGUGAAAGCUAAUUGCUGCUUGGAUCCAUGACAACCAUGUAGACACUAUUCACUUUAACAAUCUACACCAGCAUGGUAAGCCAUAUUCCAGAGACUGAGUCUCACUGAUAAUUGUGUUGUGCAAUAAACUGGAGUGACUAGAUGUGUAAAGGCUUCAUGUUUCUGUCUCAGAGUAAUACGUAAGCCAUAUUCCAGAGACUGAGUCUCACUGGUAAUUGUGUUGUGCAAUAAACUGGAGUGACUGGAUGUGUAAAGGCUUCAUGUUUCUGUAUCAGAGUAAUAUAAAAACUAUUAAAAAACAUAAGCAAGAAGGAUAUGGGAACAUACCUUGAUUUAUGAACACUGUUUACACACCAGAAAAGUAUUAAGUUUCCCAGAAUAUCUCAGAAAGGAUGUUGCUAAGCAGAGAUGAUGGUAAAGAGAGUAUUAGGAUGUCUGAAUGCAAUUUAUAGGACUAAUAUCCAUUCUCCAAACUAUCACCAGUAAGCAGAAAAGGAAAAAUUUCCUAAUACAAAUGAAAAGAAGGAUACUUUUAACUCAAGUUUAAGAACAAAUACAGAAUAGUUUGUCUACUUUUGGGUCAAAAGCCAAUUGCACACAUCAGACAGAAGCUGACAAUCAAACCAGUUAUCAUUGAACAUGUUAUAAAGAGUAUGCUGACAACUUACCAACAGCUGUGACUCUCAGCAGCUCUCCUUUUAGGCAUUUUCAUUUUACAUUUCUACAGAAUUAUGGGAAUUUCCUAGAGGAUUCAAAAUAAAUAAGACCCACCAAUAAAUAAAAGGAAAAC